GUCAGGACAGCUUAGUUGAUAGAACAGAGGAUUAAAAAUUUUGGUGUCAUUGGUUCAAAUCUGAUUCCUGACA
rnacentral:tRNA from 1 species